rnacentral:lncRNA from 1 species
UGGAUACUGUCAACUCUACUGGGGAUAGACAGUCUGGAUACUGUCAACUCUACUGGGGAUAGACAGUCUGGAUACUGUCAACUCUGUUGGGGAACAUGCUCUGCUGAGGAGAGACUUUGUCAACCGCUUGGGGAUGAGGAUUCAUGACUUGGCAUCCGGUUCCUGUGACCUGCAACCAAAAAUACACGUAUGCCUCGGGGGAAUUACUCGGUUUGAAUUCACCGUUCGGGAUUAAGCACAUUCAAAGCAAUUUUAAAUGUUUUCCUGUGCAAAUCAUCUGCAAAAG